rnacentral:rRNA from 1 species
AUUGAACGCUGGCGGUAUGCUUAACACAUGCAAGUCGAACGGUAACAGGCCUUCGGGCGCUGACGAGUGGCGGACGGUGAGUAACGCGUAGGAAUCUGCCUCAUAGUGGGGGACAACGUGGGGAAACUCACGCUAAUACCGCAUACGCCCUACGGGGAAAGCGGGGGAUCUUCGGACCUCGCGCUAUGAGAUGAGCCUGCGUUAGAUUAGCUAGUUGGUAGGGUAAAGGCCUACCAAGGCGACGAUCUAUAGCUGGUCUGAGAGGACGAUCAGCCACACUGGGACUGAGACACGGCCCAGACUCCUACGGGAGGCAGCAGU